rnacentral:rRNA from 1 species
AGAGUUUGAUCAUGGCUCAGAACGAACGCUGGCGGCAUGCUUAACACAUGCAAGUCGAACGGACCCUUCGGGGUCAGUGGCGCACGGGUGAGUAACGCGUGGGAACCUGUCAUGAAGUGGGGAAUAACCACUGGAAACGGUGGCUAAUACCGCAUGUGCCCUAUGGGGCAAAGGCUUCGGCCGCUUUGUGAGGGGCCCGCGUCCGAUUAGCUUGUUGGUGGGGUAAUGGCCUACCAAGGCAUCGAUCGGUAGCUGGUCUGAGAGGAUGAUCAGCCACACUGGGACUGAGACACGGUCCAGACUCCUACGGGAGGCAGCAGUGGGGAAUAUUGGACAAUGGGCGAAAGCCUGAUCCAGCCAUGCCGCGUGAGUGAUAAGGCCUUAGGGUUGUAAAGCUCUUUCGCAGGUGAGGAUAAUGACGGUAACCUGUAAAGAAGCCCCGGCUAACUUCGUGCCAGCAGCCGCGGUAAUACGAAGGGGGCUAGCGUUGUUCGGAAUCACUGGGCGUAAAGCGCGCGUAGGCGGACUGUCAAGUCAGGGGUGAAAUCCCAAGGCUCAACCUUGGAACUGCCUUUGAAACUGUCAGUCUGGAGUCUCGGAGGGGGUGGCGGAAUUGCUAGUGUAGGGGUGAAAUCCGUAGAUACUAGCAGGAACACCGGUGGCGAAGGCGGCCAUCUGGACGAGAACUGACGCUGAGGCGCGAAAGCGUGGGGAGCAAACAGGAUUAGAUACCCUAGUAGUCC